AUUGAACGCUGGCGGCAUGCCUUACACAUGCAAGUCGAACGGUAACGGGCCUUCGGGUGCCGACGAGUGGCGAACGGGUGAGUAAUACAUCGGAACGUGCCCGAUCGUGGGGGAUAACGAGGCGAAAGCUUUGCUAAUACCGCAUACGAUCUACGGAUGAAAGCAGGGGACCGCAAGGCCUUGCGCGGACGGAGCGGCCGAUGGCGGAUUAGGUAGUGGGUGGGAUAAAAGCUUACCAAGCCGACGAUCUGUAGCUGGUCUGAGAGGAUGAUCAGCCACACUGGGACUGAGACACGGCCCAGACUCCUACGGGAGGCAGCAGUGGGGAAUUUUGGACAAUGGGCGCAAGCCUGAUCCAGCCAUGCCGCGUGCAGGAUGAAGGCCUUCGGGUUGUAAACUGCUUUUGUACGGAACGAAAAGCCUUCUUUUAAUACAGGAGGGUCAUGACGGUACCGGAAGAAUAAGCACCGGCUAACUACGUG
rnacentral:rRNA from 1 species